UACGGGAGGCAGCAGUGGGGAAUAUUGCACAAUGGGCGAAAGCCUGAUGCAGCGACGCCGCGUGAGGGAUGACGGCCUUCGGGUUGUAAACCUCUUUCAGUAGGGAAGAAGCGAAAAGUGACGGUACCUGCAGAAGAAGCACCGGCUAACUACGUGCCAGCAGCCGCGGUAAUACGUAGGGUGCGAGCGUUAUCCGGAAUUAUUGGGCGUAAAGAGCUCGUAGGCGGUUUGUCGCGUCUGUCGUGAAAGUCCGGGGCUUAACCCCCGGGAUCUGCGGUGGGUACGGGCAGACUAGAGUGCAGUAGGGGAGACUGGAAUUCCUGGUGUAGCGGUGGAAUGCGCAGAUAUCAGGAGGAACACCGAUGGCGAAGGCAGGUCUCUGGGCUGUAACUGACGCUGAGGAGCGAAAGCAUGGGGA
rnacentral:rRNA from 1 species